UGGGAACAUGUGGUCAACAUGUGGGAACAUGUGGAAGAUAUGGGCCUGGGCACCUGAGCGUGUGUAUGUAUGUGUGUGUGUGCUUGUGCACUGGCACUCAGAUGCUUGUGCAAGACAGGCACCCAGAGAGGCAUGGGCUGAGAUGGGGAGGAAGGAGGAGCACACACUAAGGUGGCCAGACCCAGAAGGAUCCUGAGGGCUUCCUGAAGAGGAUGGCCUUCCUGCCGAAGAUGGCUUAGAGUUUGCAUGAAGACAUUAAAGCCCCUCCUCUAUCCUAUACUUCAUAGCCACGUCAUGGCUCCUGUCCCUCUGGAGGCUGCUCUACCACAGGAAGACAAGCGCUGCUCCUAUCUUCACCGACUUCUCUCCCCAAAGAAACAGACAACCUGGUGGGAAAACAGCAUCACCCCAACUUGGAGCAGCUGGGAGGGACCUGGACCACCAUUCUGCCCCAGGCCCCUCUGCCAUUCUGCAGGAGAACGACUGGCUAGCCUGGUGCUCCUGAGGAUGACAGACAUGUGAAGCAGAGCUAGCCAUCUACCCCAGCUUGUUGCAGG
ensembl:lncRNA